rnacentral:rRNA from 1 species
AUGCUGCUCCGGCCAGAUCACGGCCUCCGCGCGCCGCCAGCGCCCGCCCGUGCCUCCGUCUCCGCGGCGGCGAUCCCUGCCGUCUCCCGUCUCCCUCGCGGCGCGCUCCGGCUCCCCCGCGCGGCUUCUCCGCUCAGGGGCAAAACGUCGAGCGCCCUGCGCGCGUCGGCGGGCAUGCCGUCCGUGGCGCACCGGGAGGUGGCGCGGGCCGUGGCGGAGGAGGCGGUGGCGCGGCUGGGCGACCGGCUGCUGCCCUCGGCCGUGCCCGCCGACGUCGCCGAGUUCAGCAACGGCGACGGGACCGCCCUUGGCGCGCCUGACUCCCCGUCGUCGCGUCUCUUGGAGGAGAUAGUGCAUGGUCAGCUGGCGUCUGUUGUUAAGGGUGUUCUUCAGGUCUGGCUUGAUACUUGCGCCGGUGGCACCUCGGAAAUGGAAGAGGGUGAGAGGGAGAUCAUGGUCAGGAGGGAUCGAACUGCUCUUUCACCGAAGGUUCCAAUGAUGAAGAGGAAAGCAGAUGAGAGUGCUGCAACUACUGUCCCAAACAAAGUACAGAAACAAGCCGAGGACUGGAGCUGUGCACUAUGCCAGGUUAGUGCACCAUCUGAAGCUGGUCUAAAUGAGCAUCUUGGAGGAAGAAAACAUAAGGCGAAGUUGGCACAAUGUGGCGUCAGCAAGGCGAUCAAAGAUGACAAAAACUGCUUGCAGACGACCACUGGGAAUGAGAACAACACAGAUCCUUGUGAUGCACCUAAGAAAAUAUGCAUGCUAGUAGACAGUGCAACAUGUGAAGCUGGUGUAAAUGAGGAUCUUGGAGGAAGAAAACAUAAGGCGAAGUUGGCACAAUGUGGCGUCAGCAAGGCGAUCAAAGAUGACAAAAACUGCUUGCAGACGACCACUGGGAAUGAGAGCAACACAGAUCCUUGUGAUGCACCUAAGAAAAUAUGCAUGCUAGUAGAUGGUGAAAUGCAUGAAGUUGUUCGGAAGAACGACAAUCUGUGGUGUGAUCGCUGCAGAGUCAGGUGUCAUAGUAAAGUCAUCAUGGCUGGCCAUCUGCGGAGCAAGAAGCACAGUAAGUUAAACAAGGUUUGGACAUCGAUAAAGGCUGUGAGGACAAAUACCAAUACUAAGGAAGGUUUGCCUUCUUGUGGAAGUAAGGCUCUUUCAUCAAAUCCAAAGGUUCCAACAGUGAAGAGGAAAGCAGAUGCAAAUGCUGCAACUACUGUGCCAAAGAAAGUACAGAAAUUAACCAAGGACUGGAGCUGUGCACUAUGCCAGGUUAGUGCACCAUGUGAAGCUGCUCUAAAUGAGCAUCUUGGAGGAAGAAAGCAUAAGGCAAAGUUGGCACAGCGUGGCGUCAGCAAGACGAUCAAAGAUGGCAAAAACUGCUCGCAGACGACCACUGGGAAUGAGAACAGCACAGAUCCUUGUGAUGCACCUAAGAAAAUAUGCAUGCUUGGAGGAACAAAGCAUAAGGCAAAGUUGGCACAGUGUGGCGUCAGCAAAACAAUCAAAGAUGGCAAAAACUGCUUGCAGACGACCACUGGGAAUGAGAACAACACAGAUCCUUGUGAUGCACCUAAGAAAAUGAAAAUAUGCAUGCCAGUAGACGGUGCAAUGCAUGAAGUUGUUCGGAAGGACAAAUACCUGUGGUGUGAUCACUGCAGAGUCAGUUGUGAUAACUAUGCCACCAUGGCUUGCCAUCUGCGGUGCAAGAAGCAGAGUAAAUUAACCAAGGUUUGUUCAUCGAUAAAGGCUGUGAGGACAAAUACCAAUACUACGGAAGGUUUGCCUUCUUGUGGAAGUCAGGUAAAUACAAAUGGCUCUACUGAAAUUCCAGCGGUAAUUGAAGGCGGCAUAAAUAUGACCACCACGGUAGAUGAAAGCGGCCCUGUAGAAAAUCCAGUCCGGAAAGAAAUGACAAAAAUGGCCACCAUAAAGGCUGUGAGGACAAAUACUGAUACUAAGGAAAGUUUGCCUUCUUGUGGAAGUCGGGUAAAUACAAACGGCUCUAUUGAAAUUCCAGUGGUAAUUGAAGGCGACAUAAAUAUGACCACCGCAGUACAUGAAAGCGGCCCUGUAGAAAAUCCAGUCCGGAAAGAAAUCACAAGAAUGGCCACCAUAAAGGCUGUGAGGACAAAUACUGCACGCCGGACGAAGCCGACUGUUGCUCUGCAUUCUGCACUGCACUGCACCGCCGCCGCCGCUCCGAUCGCUCGCCGCUGGAUCUACCCCACCUCGGCACUCCCGCCGCGGCGGUCCAUGGAGUUCCGCUUCCGCGCCGGGGACCGCGGGCCACCCGGCUCCUCCCCACCCGCGCCCUCCAGCUCCCCGCCGGCGCGGUUCUCCCACCCCCGCGACGGCUACGCCGGUGCCGUUGCUUCGGGCACGCAAGGGCCUUCGCCUUCGCCUUCGCCGCGGCCGCCGCUCGACUGGGAGGCGGCGCGGCGGGAGCACCUCAUUCGCGAGGAGGUGAGGCGGCGGCUCGUCGAGGAUGAGGUGCGCCGCGAGUUCGAGGCCAAGGGCGACCUCGCCUUCGCCCGCGGCCUCCACGGGGGCUGGGGGCCCGACCCGUUCCUCGCCCCCGGCUGCUUCAUGCCGCCGCCGCACGCGCCGAUGCCGAUGCCGAUGCGCCCGCCCCCGUACGCGCCGCCGCCGCCGGUGCCUUUCGACGAGUUUGGUGCCUGGCAGGGGUUUAGGCCUCGCCGGCACGCCGGAUUUGGGGAAAGGAUGCCGUUCCCCUGUGAGGAGGGGAGGUGGUCUCUGCCGCCGCAAAAGCCGAAGCAUAAGCUCAAGCUGGUUGAGAUCGAGCCCUCCGGGACACCUGAGGAUGUUGUUAGAUAUGCACACCCGAUUAACUAUUGCAUUGAAUGUUCAUCUCAGAAUCUUUCGCCAAAAUUGAAGGUUCCAAGGCUGAAGAGGAAAACAGAUGCCAAUGCUGCAGCUACUGUACCAAAGAAAGUACUGAAACUAGCCAAGGACUGGAGCUGUGCUCUAUGCCAGGUUAGUGCAACAUGUGAAGCUGGUCUAAAUGAGCAUCUCGGAGGAAGAAAACAUAAGGCCAAGUUGGCCCUGUGUGGCGCUAGCAAGGCAAUCAAAGAUGACAAAAACUGCUCGCAGACGACCACUGGGAAUAAGAACAGCACAGAUCCUUGUGAUGCACCUAAGAAAGUACACAUGCUAGUAGACGGUGAAAUGCAUGAAGUUGUUCAGAAGAACAACUAUCUGUGGUGUGAUCGCUGCAGAGUCAGGUGUGAUAGCAAUGUCAUCAUGGCUGGCCAUCUGCGGAGCAAGAAGCACAGUAAAUUAAACAAGGUUUGGACAUCGAUAAAGGCUGUGAGGACAAAUACCGAUACUAAGGAAGGUUUGCCUUCUUGUGGAAGUCGGGUAAAUACAAACGACUCUACUGAAAUUCCAGCGGUAAUUGAAGGCGACAUAAAUAUGACCAGUGAAGUAGAUGAAAGUAGCCCUGUAGAAAAUUCAGCCAGGAAAGAAAUCAAAAGCAUUGCCGCCGAAGUAGAAAUUCCAGCGGUAAUUGAAGGCGACAUAAAUAUGACCAGUGGUGUAGAUGAAAGUAGCCUUGUAGAAACUCCAGCUGGGAAAGAAAUCAGAAGCAUCGCCAGUGAAGUAGAAAGUAUAACCAUGGCUACCGAAGUACAUGAAAAUAACCCUGGGGAAACUCCAGUUGAAACAAAGAAGGAAAGCACAGACAUGACAAAUGAUGUGUGA